rnacentral:rRNA from 1 species
UACGUAGGGUGCAAGCGUUAAUCGGAAUUACUGGGCGUAAAGCGUGCGCAGGCGGUUUUGUAAGCCCGAUGUGAAAUCCCCGGGCUUAACCUGGGAAUGGCAUUUGGGACUGCAAGGCUGGAGUGUGGCAGAGGAGACUGGAAUUCCUGGUGUAGCAGUGAAAUGCGUAGAUAUCAGGAGGAAUACCGAUGGCGAAGGCAGGUCUCUGGGCUGACACUGACGCUCAUGCACGAAAGCGUGGGGAGCAAACAGG